GAUGUGUCUAAGAGAUAGUGGCUGUUGUGUUGAUGGGCAAGAACACCAUAAUGCACAAGGCCAUCUCAGGGCAUCUGGAGAACAACUCAGCUCUGGAGAAACUGUUGCCUCACAUCCAGGGGGAUGUGGG